rnacentral:lncRNA from 1 species
CUAUUUCCUGACAUCUGCAGAACAGUGCUGCUAGCCGAGUAUCUUUACAGUGGCGCCGCUACAGUUCUCUGUUUCCAGAGGGCUUUAUGUAACGUGUAGGCACAUGACAUAAUGGGUCCGCGGCUCAGGAGCGCAUCUGAAACGCCUUUGGGAUGCAGUUGGAGAAACUGGCAGAGUUAUGGCAAGAGAUCAGUGAGCACCAGCCCUUCUCGUCUGGCCUCUGUUCUGCUUCUCCCUGUGAGGCUCCUUGUGGAAGCAGCAGAGGUCUGUUGCGUGAUAGGGGAGCAAAAGAGAGGAUGAAGCCCCCUUCCCUUCAACACCUCCCUGUGCUUAAACCAUGUUCAAAAACUUCGGCAUCAAAGUUACCCCUGGAGGCCAUGUAUGAAGAUGUGAAAACCAAGUCAAACAAGAAUAAACAAAAGCCAUGUGUACGCGAGGGAGCUGUUGGAGACGCGAUUCCGAGAUCCUGUCUUCAGAAGUCUUAUUAAAUACAACUAAAAAGUGACCCAGAUACCAUCAUCCCCAAACUCUGGGACUGUUUUGAUUAAUCAGGGAGAAACGCUUGCUCUAACUGGUCCCUGUUCCCAUAAGGACACUUUGUGCUAACAAGGGGCAGUCCAGAGGUGAUUUGAUUUCUGUAUUUUUUUUUCUCCUUUCUCUUCUCUCCUGCCUUGUGCCAGGACCCUCCUCUUCCCUUUGGUACUUCUUUAGUCAGCAAAAACCUUUCAGAGCACUCCCAGAGCUAGAGGCUUACUACAGCUAGCAGAGGCCAGACUUCUGGCAAGAAUUUCUUUCUCAUUUGGUCAUUGUUUGUUCCCUGUAGGGGACAGGAAGGGAAAGACAAUUCCAUGCAGGGCUUGCAGCUCAAACAACUCAUUUUGUAUCCGUUCAAAUAAGACAUUUCCCAAAUUCUCUGUCUAUAAAACUUCAUGUAAAUCUUGAGAGAGUAUAUCUGCAGAAACCAGAUUUCCUGACAGUUGCUUUGUAUAAUUCACUGACUGGCUGUGUAGGGAUUUUUUUUUCUUCUCGAACAUAAAACAUCUUUUAUUAAGAGCUUUGUACCAAAUGGUGAAAUAGACAAAAUGUAUUUGUAAAUCCAGAGAUAAGCAUUUUUUUCCCUCAUCUUAUUUUGAUAAAAAUCUUUCACUCAUAGAGAGUGGUAUAAAGUAAGACCACAAACGCUGUGCUUCUACCAUCCCAAUUAAGAAGUCAGAGUCACUUCGGGCUCAGGAUAAGGCUCAGCGGGAAAUGCGCUUGCUAUGCUAUCUGGAGGACCUGAGUUUAGAAAGCUGGCAGCAACAUUCACUUGUAACCUCAGGGCUGGGGGAUCUGAGACAAGCUGAUACUAGGAUGUUAGCAACUAGCUUCAGCCAGCUAACUUAGCUGAACUAGCAAGCUUCAGUUAUAAGUGAGAGUGCCUACCUCAAAAGAAAUUAAGAUAGAGUGUGAUAGAGGAAGAUACACAUUGUUAACCUUUUGGCUACUACA